rnacentral:rRNA from 1 species
UACGUAGGGGCGAGCGUUGUCCGGAAUUAUUGGGCGUAAAGGGUUCGUAGGCGGUAAUACAUGUCAGAUGUGAAAUCUUGUGGCUUAACCACAUCAAGCAUCUGAAACUGUAUAACUUGAGUGGAGGAGAGGUAAGUGGAAUUCCUAGUGUAGCGGUGAAAUGCGUAGAUAUUAGGAAGAAUACCAGUAGCGAAGGCGACUUACUGGCCUCUAACUGACGCUGAUGAACGAAAGCGUGGGUAGCAAACAGGAUUAGAUACCCCGGUAGU